rnacentral:rRNA from 1 species
GACGAACGCUGGCGGCGUGCUUAACACAUGCAAGUCGAGCGGUAAGGCCCUUCGGGGUACACGAGCGGCGAACGGGUGAGUAACACGUGGGUGACCUGCCCUCCACUUCGGGAUAAGCCUGGGAAACUGGGUCUAAUACCGGAUAGGACCUCUGGACGCAUGUCUGGUGGUGGAAAGUUUUUUCGGUGGGGGAUGGGCCCGCGGUCUAUCAGCUUGUUGGUGGGGUGAUGGCCUACCAAGGCGACGACGGAUAGCCGGCCUGAGAGGGUGAUCGGCCACACUGGGACUGAGACACGGCCCAGACUCCUACGGGAGGCAGCAGUGGGGAAUCUUGCGCAAUGGGCGGAAGCCUGACGCAGCAACGCCGCGUGGGGGAUGACGGCCUUCGGGUUGUAAACCUCUUUCGCGAUCGACGAAGGUCCCGCUUUUUGCGGGGUUGACGGUAGGUCGAGAAGAAGCACCGGCCAACUACGUGCCAGCCGCCGCCGUAACAC